rnacentral:rRNA from 1 species
AUUGAACGCUGGCGGCAGGCCUAACACAUGCAAGUCGAACGGUAACAGGAAGAAGCUUGCUUCUUUGCUGACGAGUGGCGGACGGGUGAGUAAUGUCUGGGAAACUGCCUGAUGGAGGGGGAUAACUACUGGAAACGGUAGCUAAUACCGCAUAACGUCGCAAGACCAAAGAGGGGGACCUUCGGGCCUCUUGCCAUCGGCUGUGCCCAGAUGGGAUUAGCUAGUAGGUGGGGUAACGGCUCACCUAGGCGACGAUCCCUAGCUGGUCUGAGAGGAUGACCAGCCACACUGGAACUGAGACACGGUCCAGACUCCUACGGGAGGCAGCAGUGGGGAAUAUUGCACAAUGGGCGCAAGCCUGAUGCAGCCAUGCCGCGUGUAUGAAGAAGGCCUUCGGGUUGUAAAGUACUUUCAGCGGGGAGGAAGGGAGUAAAGUUAAUACCUUGACUCAUUGACGUUACCCGCAGAAGAAGCACCGGCUAACUCCGUG